rnacentral:rRNA from 1 species
UAAACUAGGAUUAGAUACCCUAUUAUUUUGGAAUGUUAAUUAUCUGAGUAGUAUUAGUUAUGUUCUUGAAACUUAAAGAAUUUGGCGGUAUCUCAUUCCUUCCAGAGGAAUCUGUCUCGUUAUCGAUAGUCCGCGUUGGACCUUACUUAGGUUUGUAUACCGCCGUUUAUUGAUUAUCUUUUUAGGGUUGGAUUAAUUUUCUGGUUUCUUUAUUUUGGUUUAUUUCAGGUCAAGGUGCAGCUUGUUUCUAAGUGAAUGAUGGAUUACAUUUUUAUUUGUUAUUGGAUUGAUGAUUUUGAUAUUGUCAUGAAAUUGGAUUUGGUUGUAAUGAUUUGUAGAUUGUUAUUGUGAUAGUUGGUUCUGGGAUAUGCACACAUCGCCCGUCGCUCUCGUAAUGAGAUAAGUCGUAACAUAGUA